AUCGCUUCUCGGCCUUUUGGCUAAGAUCAAGUGUAGUAUCUGUUCUUAUCAGUUUAAUAUCUGAUAUGUUCUCCAAUGUGAGGACUAUAUAUAAACGGAUUUUUAGCACCGGGAGCUGAAAGAGGGGCUUGCUCCUUUCACUCCACGCAUCGACCUGCCACUGCAGUGCCGCCAGGAACGGUGCACCCUUC
rnacentral:snRNA from 1 species